AUUGAACGCUGGCGGCAGGCCUAACACAUGCAAGUCGAGCGGAUGAAGGGAGCUUGCUCCUGGAUUCAGCGGCGGACGGGUGAGUAAUGCCUAGGAAUCUGCCUGGUAGUGGGGGAUAACGUCCGGAAACGGGCGCUAAUACCGCAUACGUCCUGAGGGAGAAAGUGGGGGAUCUUCGGACCUCACGCUAUCAGAUGAGCCUAGGUCGGAUUAGCUAGUUGGUGGGGUAAAGGCCUACCAAGGCGACGAUCCGUAACUGGUCUGAGAGGAUGAUCAGUCACACUGGAACUGAGACACGGUCCAGACUCCUACGGGAGGCAGCAGUGGGGAAUAUUGGACAAUGGGCGAAAGCCUGAUCCAGCCAUGCCGCGUGUGUGAAGAAGGUCUUCGGAUUGUAAAGCACUUUAAGUUGGGAGGAAGGGCAGUAAGUUAAUACCUUGCUGUUUUGACGUUACCAACAGAAUAGGCACCGACUAACUUCGUG
rnacentral:rRNA from 1 species